GUGUUUUAUUGUGUAUAUCAUAUACUAGAGCCAUAAGUAAGGCUCAACUGUACAAUUUGUGGGAAAAGGGUGCCGAAAAUUCACUUUAGCGAUACGGGUUGUAUAUAACUUUGGAUGAUUGAACAAAGAGCACAGAUCAAACUCACUGAAGAAACCACACGGCCUGCAUAUCCUGAUGGAAGUUUCUAGAACACCUGGAAGAACAAGCUCGUUGAGCCAUCCCCAAAUGUUCGGAUGUCGGCUGGUCUGACCAACGCUCUGCAUAAUGGGCAUGUUCUCUCUCUUUCAAACCUGUAAAGAGUUGUAUUUGUGGAGACUCAGACAAUGCAUAGAAGGAUCCAAUCUGAGACGUUAAGAAAGAGUAAAUAUCUAUGAAGCACGGGGAUGGCAUAUUGCAUCGAGUACCCGUACCGGGGACAGCUCGGGGACGGAAACGCGUAGGGGACGGUUCCCAAACGUACCCGGAUAUUGGGGGCUUCUACAAAACCGUACCCAAUAUUGGGUACUUCCAAAACAGAGUAUCGGGGACGUUUCCUAAAAUAUUUAGGGCUUUAACCCUUUUAACUUACAAAUACCUAAGUAGGCCUUUUAUAAUUAUAUAUGCUACGUCGGCCUUUUUUAUAAAUAUAUAUAUGCUAUUCUAAACAUUCACGUAUAACAAGUCUGAUCAUCAUCUCUAUUCAAGUAUUCAUCAUUCAUCGAAGAUGUUGGGUUUUGGAGGUUGCCGAUCUUACGCAAGAUGAACCGGAAUUUGAAAAUGUUUUGAUUAUUGAUAAUUAAUUACCUGUGGUUGAUGUAGUGUUUUUGGAGUUUAAUAUAUUUUUGUACUUUGUUUAAUAUAUUUUUAUUUUUUAAUAUUAUUCUUUUUGC
rnacentral:lncRNA from 1 species